rnacentral:rRNA from 1 species
CACGUAGGCACCAAGCGUUGUCCGGAUUUAUUGGGCGUAAAGAGCUCGUAGGCGGUUCGGUAAGUCGGAUGUGAAAUCUUUGGGCUCAACCCAAAGCGUGCACUCGAUACUGCCGUGACUGGAGUUCGGUAGGGGAGCGGGGAAUUCCUAGUGUAGCGGUGAAAUGCGCAGAUAUUAGGAGGAACACCGGUGGCGAAGGCGCCGCUCUGGGCCGAUACUGACGCUGAGGAGCGAAAGCGUGGGUAGCAAACAGGA